rnacentral:misc_RNA from 1 species
CCGAGUCAGGGUCCUCCGGGGCCCGACCUCCCAACCCUGUGUCUACUUAACCACUUGUUGCUUCGGCGGACCGGUCUCACGACCGCCGGAGGGGUGUCAGACCCCCUUUGGAGAGCGUCCGUCGACGGCCCAACCAUAAACUCUUGUACCAAAACGUGUCGUCUGAAUAUAUUCUUGAUAUUGAAUCAAAACA